GUCUUUGUCAUAGGUGGUUAUUUGCCCUGAUGUAUGCAGGUGGCAGAGAUUUGCUUGACAACCUUCUAAACUGGCUUAUCCCUCUUCAAGACUGAAGACAUAGAUAAGUCCAUAUCCUCAACUCUAACUCUUGAGUCAUCUUGGAUUCCAGGAAAAACAGAAGUGGUCCAUACACACACUUGUAACAAGGGAGGGAAAAAAUCCCCAACCAACAGGACAGACUACCCAUCAGAUGAGGACACUGUGAUUAACAGUGGUGGGCAGGUUACCAGUCUGUUUCAGGACCUGAGAUUAUCACAUCUUUCAAACCUCAUCAGAUAAGCUUAUUUUUGCAGUAGAUGGCAACUAACACAGAGACCCGCAACUGUUCAAGGUGCAGAGCAUAAAUGACUGUGGAGAUCGAAGCCACAAAUGGGACAUCUGGAUCAGACCUCUUCCUCCCAAGGCUUUGAGAGAAUUUCAGAAGAGGGAACAGAAGGAGCCUAACAGCCAGAGGCAGUGGGUGAUUACAAAGAAACUGUGCUUUAUGGAUACAAUAGGGCAAUUACACAAAUGAACUCAGCAGUUGUGACAGCGUGCAUAAGACGUGUGCAAAUUCAGGCUGGACAAAAUGCCAAUGUGGAGAGGGAAGGGAGACAUAAAUCUCCACCCCCAGCGGAGAAGCUACUGGGAAUUGAUAGCUUCUAGGAGAGGGAAAGUUAGUUUUCCUUGUGGGUAUGGCCCUUGCUAAGUCUAACACACGCCAAUGGAUGGCCAAACACCCCAGAGUAUAAAUAAAAGAAUGAGGGCACAGA